rnacentral:rRNA from 1 species
GUAGUCUCGCACAGAUGCAUAUCAAUAAGCGGAGGAAAAGAAACUAACAAGGAUUCCCCUAGUAACGGCGAGUGAAGCGGGAAGAGCUCAAAUUUGAAAUCUUAAAGGGUUUCCCUUUACGAAUUGUAGUCUAAAGAAGUGUUUUCUGUUGAGGUUUUGGUAAAAGUUCUUUGGAAUAGGACAUCAUAGAGGGUGAGAAUCCCGUAUUUGACCUUUACUUUCAACUUUGUGAUACACUUUCAAAGAGUCGGAUUGUUUGGGAAUGCAGUCCAAAAUGGGUGGUAAAUUUCAUCUAAAGCUAAAUAUUGGCGAGAGACCGAUAGCGAACAAGUACCGUGAGGGAAAGAUGAAAAGAACUUUGAAAAGAGAGUUAAACAGUACGUGAAAUUGUCAAAAGGGAAGCGUUUGACACCAGUGUUGUUUUUCUGAAAAUCAAUUAAAGAACUGUUUAUGCUAAGCUGUUUAGACUUUAUCAGCUAACUGUUUAGUUUUGAGCUUUUCUUUAAUGCACUUUCAGUUAACAAGUCAACAUCAAUUUCUUUUGCUGUAAAAAAGCUUGAGGAAGGUGGCUUGAGAUUCGUCUUAAGUGUUUAUAGCCUCUUGCCUAUGCAGUCGGAGAGAUUGAGGUCUGCAGCGUAGAUCCUUCGGGGCUAAAUGCAUUUGUGCUAAGUUAUAGCAUUUUAUAGACAACUUGUUGACUAUGAUUUGUCUUGUAGCUUACUCGCUUAUGUUAUUUUACCUACGCUUAGGAUGUUGAGUAGCGACAUACGCAC